AUUGAACGCUGGCGGCAUGCCUUACACAUGCAAGUCGAACGGUAACAGGUCUUCGGAUGCUGACGAGUGGCGAACGGGUGAGUAAUACAUCGGAACGUGCCCGAUCGUGGGGGAUAACGGAGCGAAAGCUUUGCUAAUACCGCAUACGAUCUACGGAUGAAAGCAGGGGACCGCAAGGCCUUGCGCGGACGGAGCGGCCGAUGGCAGAUUAGGUAGUUGGUGGGAUAAAAGCUUACCAAGCCGACGAUCUGUAGCUGGUCUGAGAGGACGACCAGCCACACUGGGACUGAGACACGGCCCAGACUCCUACGGGAGGCAGCAGUGGGGAAUUUCGGACAAUGGGCGCAAGCCUGAUCCAGCCAUGCCGCGUGCAGGAUGAAGGCCUUCGGGUUGUAAACUGCUUUUGUACAGAACGAAAAGACUUUUUCUAAUAAAGAGGGUCCAUGACGGUACCGUAAGAAUAAGCACCGGCUAACUACGUGCCAGCAGCCGCGGUAA
rnacentral:rRNA from 1 species